UGACAACUCUAGCAAAUCGAGCCGGUUGAAGUCGAAAGUUCAUCGUCCUCACUCGCUCUCCGGUGGCCGGUUAAGUCGCAUCAGCUCCUCAUCUGGUCUUCUUCACGUGAGCGGCCCCUGAACCACACCUUAUGAUGGAGUGCCUUGUUGAAGAGAACAUUUUCGUAGACAGUGCCCAGUGUAAGCAGAAUAUUCAUACUAAAGGCAGGUUACGGUGCAUGGAGGUUCCAGUUUGCUUAAAUAAAUGUAGGUAUUUUGGUAGUGGGUGAUAAGAGCAAGCAGUCCACAUGCCCUGAGUGAAUCGGCAUAUACAAGCUGCAGUGCUGAGCAUCUAACCAAAAUGUUGAUAUACUGAAUAUCUGGUUCAAGUUACUUGCAGUCAUUGUGGGUCUGGUUCUGACAUCGCAUAAAAGGUGUAGAGCCCUAAUGCUGUUUAAAGGUCAGCCAUACUGACUGGCAGGGCCCAGCUUCACAUCAAGCAUUAAACCUGACAACCCUGCUGCCUAAAUGAUGGCCAACCUUACAGGAAGUGUGCUGACUUGCAUAGUAAUUAAAGGAGGAGUUAAGGAGCUUGUGUGUCCUGUUGAGAAAAUUAAAGGUCCAUGAGAGAUGUGCAGUCUCUUGAAAAGUAGUCACAAAGGUGAUUAUCAGUCUUGCUUGUAUGAACUGAGGUGGUUGAAGUAUGAAGUUAUGCUGUAGUAAUUGUGACAUGUGCCAUAGGUGACAAGGUCCAAGGAUAAUCUGCUGUAUCUUUAAAAAGUUAGUAGCCAAGAUGCUGGAUCUUGAAUGUGCUAUCAGAUGUUUCAAGUACUAGAAGUACUUGUCCUUGCCAAGGAGAGAGGUGGAUUACGAUCAAGCUGUAAAGGGUACAGUACUUGUCCUUGCCAAGGAGAGAGGUGGAUUACGAUCAAGCUGUAAAGGGUACAGGCUCUUGGUGAACUCUUAGGCAUGUCACCUUUUAAUAAAGACCAGGAAGGUGGUGCCAUUGAAACCCCCUGACACCAAUUCCCCAGCCUGCUAAACUUGUCAUCACUGAAGAGAGGCAAAGGUGGCUGGAAUGGGCAUGUACUGCAGAAAAAAAAUGGAAGGGUGGUGAAGAUAAGAAGUUACCGCGCAGACGUAAGGAAAGUUUUUUUCAUAAAUUCACCAUAAAUCGAAAUAUUGUGCUAGAGACUUCCAAUUAGUUGCAAAAUUAAGAGAUGUGUCAGAUACUUUUUAGUGCGGCAAGAAUGAAAUUCGCGCUUGUGCCUCUGCUCUGCCUAAUGAUUGUAAGCAAAAAAACACCUUGAUCCGUGAACUCCCAGCAUCCCCCAAGGCGCAUGUUUCAAGAGUUUUUGGCUGGAGGAUACAGUAUGAGGCCUGCAGUCAGAUUUUAGCUGAAAACUUCCAGGUGGUGGUGCCAUUGAAGGCCCCAACAACAAAUCCUCAGCUGGCCAGAAACUUGUCGCUCAAGUUAUGCGAGGAGGGUACAGUACAUAUUGUUAGGUGCGCAGUAUGAUGCCUGCAGCCAGUAAAAACCAGGACUAUUAAGAUAGUCUCCUUACCGGGGAAUAAGUGUCUGGAAGAAUUGGUUCCUACUGCCCCUGCGGUUGUACAUAACAGGUGUCGGCAGUCUGGCCGGUUUUAUUCAGGAAUUGACAAAAGCUGGCACAUGAUGGGAGUGUGGUCAUGGUUUCAAAGGUUUACCAAAGAUAGCCGCCUUGCCGGGAAUAGCCUCCUUGCCGGGAAUAAGUGUCUGGAAGAAUUGAUUCCUUCUGCCCCCAAUAUUUGGUAAGAUUCAGAAGGGCACCAUAUGAAAUUGUCACAAGUCUUGGAGGAUGAAUGAUGCCUAGCUUGCUUAUUUUUUUGUGCAGGUUUUGCAGAAUAAAGGAGAGAUUUGGUAAGAAUCAGAGGAAUGGCAUCAUAUGAAGUUAUUGUCUGAAGUCUUGGAGGAUGAAUGAUGCCAAAGGUUGCUAUUUUUUCUGCAGGUUUUACAGAUCCAAGGAGAGAUUUGGUAAGAAUCAGAAGAGUGGCACCAUAUGAAGUUAUUGUCUGAAGUCUUGGAGGAUGAAUGAUGCCGAAGGUUGCUAUUUUUUCUGCAGGUUUUACAGAUUCAAGGAGAGUCUUGCCAGAAGGUCCCUUGCAGAUAGAAAAUCCUGGGACUCCAGCAGUAAUGCAGCUUUAAUGGGGAAGGAGUUUGUUGCAAAGUUGCGGACAUAAUGUAAUAAUCACUGUAAGGAUUGGCAUUAAAUGUUUAUAUAAAUUAAUAUAA